GACGAACGCUGGCGGCGUGCUUAACACAUGCAAGUCGAACGGAAAGGCCCUGCUUUUGUGGUGUGCUCGAGUGGCGAACGGGUGAGUAACACGUGAGUAACCUGCCCUUUACUUUCGGAUAACUUCAGGAAACUCUGGCUAAUACCGUAUAUGAGAUCCUGCUCCAUGGUGUGGGUUGGAAAGAUUCGGCGGUUGGGGAUGGACUCGCGGCUUAUCAGCUUGUUGGUGGGGUAGUGGCUUACCAAGGCUUUGACGGGUAGCCGGCCUGAGAGGGUGACCGGCCACAUUGGGACUGAGAUACGGCCCAGACUCCUACGGGAGGCAGCAGUGGGGAAUAUUGCACAAUGGGCGGAAGCCUGAUGCAGCAACGCCGCGUGCGGGAUGACGGCCUUCGGGUUGUAAACCGCUUUCGCCUGUGACGAAGCGUGAGUGACGGUAAUGGGUAAAGAAGCACCGGCUAACUACGUG
rnacentral:rRNA from 1 species